rnacentral:rRNA from 1 species
GCCAGACUCCUACGGGAGGCAGCAGUGGGGGAUAUUGCACAAUGGGGGGAACCCUGAUGCAGCGACGCCGCGUGGGUGAAGGAGCGUUUCGGCGCGUAAAGCCCUAUCGGCAGGGAAGAAGGAGGACGGUACCUGACUAAGAAGCCCCGGCUAACUACGUGCCAGCAGCCGCGGUAAUACGUAGGGGGCAAGCGUUAUCCGGAUUUACUGGGUGUAAAGGGGGCGCGGACGGCAGCGCAAGCCAGGAGUGAAAGCCCGGGGCCCAACCCCGGGACUGCUCUUGGAACUGCGCGGCUGGAGUGCAGGAGGGGCAGGCGGAAUUCCUGGUGUAGCGGUGAAAUGCGUAGAUAUCAGGAGGAACACCGGUGGCGAAGGCGGCCUGCUGGACUGCGACUGACGUUGAGGCCCGAAAGCGUGGGGAGCAAACAGGAUUAGAUACCCCUGUAGU